GCUCUCGUAGUUCAACUGGAUAGAACGGGAACCUCCUAAGUUCCAAAUAGGGGUUCAAUUCCUCUCGAGGGCA
rnacentral:tRNA from 2 species